CCUACGGGAGGCAGCAGUGAGGAAUAUUGGUCAAUGGGCGAGAGCCUGAUCCAGCCAAGCCGCGUGAAGGAAGAAGGAUCUAUGGUUUUAAAACUCUUUUUAUAUGGGAAUAAAGUGAGGAACGUGCUCCUUUAUGUAUGUACUAUAUGAAUACGCAUCGGCUAACUCCGUGCCAGCAGCCGCGGUAAUACGGAGGAUGCGAGCGUUAUCCGGAUUUAUUGGGUGUAAAGGGUGCGUAGGUGGUUAAUUAAGUCAGCGGUGAAAGUUUGUGGCUCAACCAUGAGAUUGCCGUUGAAACUGGUUGACUUGAGUAUAGUAGAGGUAGGCGGAAUGCGUGGUGUAGCGGUGAAAUGCAUAGAUAUCACGCAGAACACCGAUUGCGAAGGCAGCUUACUAAACUAUAACUGACGCUGAGGCACGAAAGCGUGGGGAGCAAACAGGAUUAGAUACCCUUGUAGUC
rnacentral:rRNA from 1 species